rnacentral:rRNA from 1 species
GACGAACGCUGGCGGCGUGCUUAACACAUGCAAGUCGAACGCUGAAGCUCAGCUUUUGUUGGGUGGAUGAGUGGCGAACGGGUGAGUAACACGUGAGUAACCUGCCCUCUUCUUUGGGAUAACGCCCGGAAACGGGUGCUAAUACUGGAUAUUCACUGAUCUUCGCAUGGGGGUUGGUGGAAAGGUUUGUUCUGGUGGGGGAUGGGCUCGCGGCCUAUCAGCUUGUUGGUGGGGUGAUGGCCUACCAAGGCUUUGACGGGUAGCCGGCCUGAGAGGGUGACCGGUCACAUUGGGACUGAGAUACGGCCCAGACUCCUACGGGAGGCAGCAGUGGGGAAUAUUGCACAAUGGGCGGAAGCCUGAUGCAGCGACGCCGCGUGAGGGAUGGAGGCCUUCGGGUUGUAAACCUCUUUCGCUCAUGGUCAAGCCGCAACUGUGGGUUGUGGUGAGGGUAGUGGGUAAAGAAGCGCCGGCCUACUUCGUGUUUGUUGCCGCGGUUAUACGUAGAGCGCGUACGUUUGCGGAAUUUUUGGGUGUAUAGGGGUUUGUUUGCCGCAGGUCACAUCCGUCAGAAAAUCUUUGGAUUAACUGUGGAACUGUCGGGCUUUGUGCUGACCUAUUGCCUGAAUGUAAAACUGGAACUUCUUAUUUCUUGUGUUAUGUCUAAAUAUAAUAAUACCCUUUGACGCAUGCUCUUCUUCUG